rnacentral:lncRNA from 1 species
CAUGAAGGAUACGUGAAGACGCUGCGUCACCGCUCCCGGAGUGAGGAUCUCCUUCUGUCUCCUCCUUCGAUCCGUCCGUCCCAACUUCCAUCUGGAAGAAAGCUAACAACAGGAGUCCCCGUCAGGACCCCUAGGCUUCCCUGUGCCUGUCUGCCAAAAACGUCUGCAUCUCCUGGACCCCCUCGAGGCAGGGGACAGCCAAAUGUCACUUGGACCCUCUACAGAGUGGUGAGAGGAGGACAGGAAGAGGCCAAUGGGAGAGAGAUGGAGGGAGGAGGAGGAGGAGGAGACGGGGAAUAGCAGGGUGACCAUGAGACUGGAUGGAAGAAGAAACAAAAUCACUUUACAUAAUAUGCAAAUGUAACCAUAUCAAACACUAAUGACUCAAUUAUUACUUGGCAAGGCCUAAUAUGUGUUCUAAUCAAUGCUCAGUUAUUGGCUGAAAUCCUGGAGGAAGAUUUUAGUUUUGUUAUUUUCUUGCUGCUUAACUCUUUAGGUAUUAAUUAAUUAAUUGAUUGUAGAGUAAUACUCAUGCCGGGGCUUCCUUUAGAUAUCAUAAAAAAUAAAGGUGAGUGAAAGUAUUACGGAUUUUUGUCC